GAGUUUGAUCCUGGCUCAGGACGAACGCUGGCGGCGUGCUUAACACAUGCAAGUCGAACGAAGCUUGAUUUAUGAUUUCUUCGGAAUGAAUAAUGAUAUGACUGAGUGGCGGACGGGUGAGUAACGCGUGAGCAACCUACCCUUCGGAGGGGGAUAGCGUCUGGAAACGGACGGUAAUACCGCAUAAAGUGUCUUGACCGCAUGAUCGAGAUACCAAAACUGAGGUGCCGAAGGAUGGGCUCGCGUUGGAUUAGAUAGUUGGUGGGGUAACGGCCUACCAAGUCGACGAUCCAUAGCCGGACUGAGAGGUUGAUCGGCCACAUUGGGACUGAGACACGGCCCAGACUCCUACGGGAGGCAGCAGUGGGGAAUAUUGCACAAUGGGGGAAACCCUGAUGCAGCAACGCCGCGUGAAGGAAGACGGUUUUCGGAUUGUAAACUUCUGUUCUUAGUGAAGAAUAAUGACGGUAGCUAAGGAGCAAGCCACGGCUAACUACGUGCCAGCCGCCGCGGUAAUAC
rnacentral:rRNA from 1 species